rnacentral:rRNA from 1 species
AGGAUAAACGCUGGCGGCGUGCCUUAUGCAUGCAAGUCGAACGCCCCACCGCAAGGUGGGGAGUGGCAAACGGGUGUGUAAUACGUAAGUAACCUGCCCUCAAGUGGGGAACAACUCUGAGAAAUCGGGGCUAAUACCGCGUGUGAUUCUUGACCGUAGGGUCAGGAAUUAAAGCCUUCGGGCGCUUGAGGAGGGGCUUGCGUCCUAUCAGGUAGUUGGUGGGGUAACGGCUCACCAAGCCGAUGACGGGUAGCUGGUCUGAGAGGAUGGUCAGCCACACUGGGACUGCGACACGGCCCAGACUCCUACGGGAGGCAGCAGCAAGGAAUAUUGUGCAAUGGGCGAAAGCCUGACACAGCGACGCCGCGUGAGGGAUGAAGGCCUUCGGGUCGUAAACCUCUUUUCUCAGGGAGGAGUAAGGACAGUACCUGAGGAAUAAGCCACGGCUAACUACGUGCCAGCAGCUGCGGUAAAACGUAGGUGGCGAGCGUUAUCCGGAUUUAUUGGGCGUAAAGAGGGCGCAGGCGGCCUGGUAAGUCGAAUGUGAAAUCUCCCGGCUUAACUGGGAGGGGUCAUUCGAUACUAUCAAGCUGGAGUGCGACAGGGGGAGGUAGAAUUCCCGGUGUAGUGGUGAAAUGCGUAGAUAUCGGGAGGAAUACCAGUGGCGAAGGCGGCCUCCUGGGUCGUUACUGACGCUUAAGCCCGAAAGCGUGGGGAGCAAACAGGAUCAGAUACCCUGGUAGUCCACGCUGUAAACUAUGGACACUGGGUAUGGGGAGUAUCGACCCUCUCCGUGCCGAAGUUAACGCGUUAAGUGUCCCGUCUGGAAACUACGGCCGCAAGGCUAAAACU